rnacentral:rRNA from 1 species
AACGAACGCUGGCGGCAGGCUUAACACAUGCAAGUCGAGCGCCCCGCAAGGGGAGCGGCAGACGGGUGAGUAACGCGUGGGAAUCUACCCAUCUCUACGGAAUAACGCAUGGAAACGUGUGCUAAUACCGUAUACGUCCUUCGGGAGAAAGAUUUAUCGGAGAUGGAUGAGAGGCCCGCGUUGGAUUAGCUAGUUGGUGGGGUAAAGGCCUACCAAGGCGACGAUCCAUAGCUGGUCUGAGAGGAAGAUCAGCCACACUGGGAAUGAGAAACGGCCCAGACUCCUACGGGGGGCAGCAGUGGGGAAUAUUGGACAAUGGGCGCAAUCCUGAUCCAGCCAUGCCGCGUGAGUGAUGAAGGCCCUAGGGUUGUAAAGCUCUUUCACCGGUGAAGAUAAUGACGGUAACCGGAGGAGAAGCCCCGGCUAACUUCGUGCCAGCCGCCGCAGUAAGAC